ACCCAAAAAUAUUCUACUCCUAAUCCGGGAGAGAAUAGCCAAAACAUUCUCCUAUUUCUGUUUUCCCCUGUGAAAUAAAUGCUUAAGAUAUUUCGGUUACCACCACUUGCUACAUUAUUUAAAGAGGUGAGUACUCUAAAAAAAAGAGAAGAUACGAGGAAAUAAAAAGGGGUAAGUGCCCGGAACCUCGAAAGAAAAGAAAAAGUGAGACGAGAGGUCAAAAUGGACAAGUGUCCGACAGUAGAAUUAGGGGUACAAGAUAUCCACCUCAGAGAAAAGAAAAAGAAAAUAUAGAGCAUCUUAUUCUCCUCAAAAAGUUUCAAAAGAGCAAGAAAGGUAUGUAUCCCUCAAAAGAGCACAAGUAGAAUUAGACUUUCACCAUUGUUAUCACCCUCAUCACCAUACACCAUUCAUUCGCCACACAUGCACAUCUUGAUUUGACUUAUUGACUUGUUCUUCUGGAUCCAUGGUUUGACUAUGCAAUAAAUGUCUUGUAAGUAUGUAUUAGCUGUGUCCCACCUAUGAGCUCC
rnacentral:lncRNA from 1 species